rnacentral:rRNA from 1 species
CGGGGGGAGCGAGCGUUGUUCGGAUUUACUGGGCGUAAAGGGCGCGUAGGCGGCCACCGCAAGUCGACUGUGAAAUCUCCGGGCUUAACCCGGAAAGGUCAGCCGAUACUGCGGGGCUAGAGUGCAGAAGGGGCAACUGGAAUUCUCGGUGUAGCGGUGAAAUGCGUAGAUAUCGAGAGGAACACCUGCGGCGAAGGCGGGUUGCUGGGCUGACACUGACGCUGAUGCGCGAAAGCUAGGGGAGCGAACGGGAUUAGAUACCCCGGUAGUCCUAGCCUUAAACGAUGAAUGCUUGGUGUCUGGGGUUUUAUAGUCCCCGGGUGCCGUCGCUAACGCUUUAAGCAUUCCGCCUGGGGAGUACGGUCGCAAGACUG